rnacentral:lncRNA from 1 species
AUAUUAAACAGUUGAAAUGCACCAUAAAGGAAAAAUAAGGAUAGGGGCCUAGUCUGUCUAGGAAUUGUAUCCAGCAUCUGGUAUAUACCAAAUGGUGACCUGUGUGGGGCCCAGAGUUGAGCUCUGUUUUCCUUAAUAAUAAUUCUAUCUGUAUUUGUUCCUAGUAUUUUUUCAGCAUUUUCCAUAAAAUAUCUGCUUACUUCAGAUAUGCAUAUAUGGACAAAAAUAAUCAACAGAAUUCUCUACUUGUUUCUUAUGGUAGGAUCUGGGUGUGGAUUUUAUGUUAAAUUAAUUUUUGAUAGUCUGUGGAAGCAAGCCCCAUUCUGGAACUUUACAAAUGAAGCAAAUCAGUUUUCUGAGGUUCAGUCCCUGGU